UCCUCGAUAGUACAGUGGUGAAUAUCUCCGCCUGUCACGUGGAAGGCCAGGUUCGAUUCCCGGUCGAGGAG
rnacentral:tRNA from 1 species